rnacentral:rRNA from 1 species
UACGAAGGGUGCAAGCGUUACUCGGAAUUACUGGGCGUAAAGCGUGCGUAGGCGGUUUGAUAAGUCUGAUGUGAAAGCCCUGGGCUCAACCUGGGAAUUGCAUUGGAUACUGGCAGGCUAGAGUGCGGUAGAGGAUGGCGGAAUUCCCGGUGUAGCAGUGAAAUGCGUAGAGAUCGGGAGGAACAUCUGUGGCGAAGGCGGCCAUCUGGACCAGCACUGACACUGAGGCACGAAAGCGUGGGGAGCAAACAGG